rnacentral:lncRNA from 1 species
CAUCCGCUCCCAAUUGGUGCUCCUACUCCCUUCAAGGUUUUCCUUGAUUGAUUGUAGGCUGUGUUGGUUAGUUCUUUGAGAGUGUGGUUGGGCGAAUCCUCGAUUCAGGUUGCCGGUUAAAGACGGUGGUUGGCUUCGAGUUUUAUUUGCCAGGUUGCACUAGUUAUCGCUGCUUGCAGCAAGUUAUCCGGCUAUUUUUCAGCUAGUUAUCGGUGUUCAUCCUAUGUCGUGAAGAUCGGGACAACGUGUCGCAUCAUCUGGUAUCAAAGCUUUCGUUACCACGGUAGGAAUUUUUUCCCUAGCUACAUAUAUAUUUUGCUUCGUCCUAUCCACCAAAAGCCAGAAGAAUAUAUUGCUUAGACCUUUGUUUCAAUCUGUUAUUUUAGUGAGUUCGGUUAAGUCACAGUCCAUUAGAGUCUUUGUUUUAGUUGCUGAUCAUUUAUCCUUCGCGUGUUCUUUGUGCCUCUUUUAUAUCUAAAAAUCCCCACAAAAAAAACUCUAUAACCUAUAUCAUCCUUUGUGUUAACUUUGAUCCUAUCUAGCUACUGGUUGUUGUUUUAUUUGUCUUUAGUUGUACAAGUAUCAUAAUCUGAUCUCUGUUUUUAGUUCUACAUAAAAAAAAGUGUGUCAAAAAAAAGAAAAGAAAGUGCAAAAAAAAGUGAAGUGAAAAAAAGUUGAGAAAGGUUCAGAGAGAAAGUCUGAAAGAUUAGUUGAUUUAUGUGCACAAGUGCUGAAAGUUUCAUAUUAAGUUCUGCAACUAGUUUGCUAUCUUUGUUUGGUGCAUUACUUUGGUUGGGUCUGAUUGCAACACUUGCAUCCCAAUCAUACUCCUUGUUUGCAUCAAUUCUGAAAUUUCUUUGCGUGUGUGUGAUCUAUUUAUACACUUCGAAUCUUUUGAUCAGCACUAGGCAGAGAACUUCUAGUUUGGAUCGUUACUUAACUUUACAACAAAUAGAAUUCAGAUUGCAUUCCUUGUGUAUUACUCCCCACCAAGCUCCACAUAAAAACCAUCAUAAUCGGUACUCUCUGUUCUUGUAUUUGCCUCGCCAUCACUUUCAGUUGCCACCACACAUUUGUUUUCCUUGUAAUCUACAGCAGAGGAAUUCAUAAGAGCUUCGGUGGUUAGAGAGGUGAGUUGUGAGGGCCACCAAAUUUUCAUAUUCCACCAAUACAAAUUAUUUGUAUUCAGCUAACCUCACAGGAAGAUGGGUGAUGGAAUAGAGGAUUGUGUCACUUUGGCACAAUUUAAUGAACUCCGACAAAGCAUAGAAGAAAAGCAAGAUAGGUUGACACAAGAUCUUCGGAACCUUAUGACUGAAAUCAGAAGGCGUCGCCAACCUCAUGAUGGAGCAAGCAACCAUGGUGAAGAUGGAGAUAUGAGUGAUAGAAGUGCUGCUAGUAGAAGCUCAAGGGAACAAGGAAGGAGGAACCGAGUUAGGGGAAGAGGUCAAGGUCGAAGAAAUCAUGAUGAUGAAGAAUCUGAAAAAGAAGAUGAUGAUGAUCAUUCUCAAUAUCGAUAUGGUUACCGACAUCAUAGAAGAGGCAAUCACGAGUAGAGGCUGGGAAAACUGAAGUUUACCAUGCCAAAGUUUGAUGGUGGGUCUGAUCCUGAAGCUUAUUUCACUUGGGAGCUGAAAGUGGAUAAAAUCUUUCGCUUGCAUAAUUAUUCAGAAGAGAAGAAGCUGGCAAUGGCAUCUCUGGAGUUUGAAGGAUAUGCUCUGAUAUGGUGGGAGCAGCUCCUCAGUGAUCGUGAAGAAGAUGGAAGACAUCCAGUUGCAACUUGGGAUGAAAUGAAGAGAGAAAUGAGAAGUCGUUUUGUGCCGAAGCACUAUCGGCGUGAUCUUUUUGAUAAAUUGCAGAAUUUGAAGCAAGGAAGUCUCUCUGUUGAAGAGUAUUAUAAGGAGAUGGAGAAAUAUAUGAUUAGAGCCAAUGUGUAUGAAGAUGAAGAGCAAACUAUUGCACGUUUUAUGGCUGGGCUGCAUCGCAAUAUUCAGCGCAUUGUUGAGUUUCAGCCAUACCGUCAUCUUAUUGAUUUAGUACAUCAAGCAACCAAAGCUGAACGUCAAUUGCAGCAAGAUGCUAAGAGCAGCAAGUCCUUGUCCUUUGGUAUGAGGAACUUCUCUGGAGGAAGCAAAUCAAUCACUAAGUUUUCUGCUGAACCAUCCAUGGUGAAAGGCUCAAGUGGAGGCUCACGAUCUAAUUUUCAGGGUACUGUUAGUGGAAAGAACGCUGCUGUCCCAAGUUCAAAACCAGCAGCAUCAAACACUACUUCAGUAGGUUCCACUUCCAAGAGUAGUGGAAUUCAGUGCUUCAAGUGUGGAGGCCGUGGACAUGUAUCAAGAGAGUGUCCAAAUAAUCGUGUGGUCAUUGUGAAUGAUAGUGGAGAAUUUGAAUCAGCUAGUGAAGAGGAAGCUGAGGAAGAACAUGUUGGUGAGGCCCAUCAAGAUGAGGAACAUACUGGCUGUGAAUUUGAGCAAGGUGCUGCUCUUGUGGUGACUCAAAUCUUGAGUGUUCAAAUGAAGAAGCUGAAAAUGGGCAGCGACAUAAUUUAUUUCAAACCAGAGCAAAGGUGCAUGAUAAGGUGGUGAAGGUGAUUAUUGAUGGAGGGAGCUGCCAUAAUCUUGCUAGUCGUGAGAUGGCUGAUAAACUUGGCCUGAAGCUGCUACGACACCCACAUCCAUAUCAUGUACAGUGGCUGAAUGAUUUGGGAGAUAUCAAGAUUGGAUAUAAAGUAAACGUUCCAUUCAAGAUUGGUGAAUAUGUUGACACAGUAGAGUGUGAUGUGGCGCCUAUGUCGGUGUGUCACUUGCUGCUUGGAAGGCCAUGGCAAUAUGAUCGAUAUAGCCAACAUUGUGGGAGAACAAAUCAGUUUACUAUCAAUCUAACGGGGAAAAAGUUUGUUCUCAAGCCUAUGACACCCCAACAAAUCAUGGCUGAACAUUUAAAAAAGAAAUCUGAAAUUGUUCCAGUGAGUAGAGAGGAAGGAGAGCAAAAGAAAUUGAGUGCCAUCCACAAUUCGGUGAGUGAGUGCCACAAGCCAAAUUUGAGGGAGAAAAAGAAAGGAGAGGGAGAGAAUUUAGUCAUGCUAGCCACAAAAUCUGAAAUGAGAGAAGUGAGGAACAACCCCGAACAAGUGCUCUUUGUACUUGUGUACAAAGACAUUUUAAUUUCAGCUAACGACAUGACCUCUCUUCCUAGUGUUGUGUCUCAUCUUUUGCAGGACUAUGGAGAUGUCUUUCCAGAAGAAACACCAGCGGGACUACCUCCAUUUCGUGGGAUUGAGCAUCAAAUUGAUCUCAUUCCAGGGGCUGCACUACCUAAUCGACCACCAUACCGAACCAAUCCAGUAGAAACAAAGGAGAUACAAAGGCAAGUGCAAGAACUUCUUGAUAAAGGUUUUGUUCGUGAAAGUUUAAGUCCUUGUGCUGUUCCUGUAAUUUUAGUACCUAAGAAAGAUGGCUCUUGGAGAAUGUGUGUUGAUUGUAGAGCUAUAAAUAACAUCUAUGUUCGCUAUCGCCAUCCUAUCCCACAUUUAGAUGACAUGCUUGAUGAAUUAAGUGGUUCCACCAUAUUCACUAAAAUUGAUUUGAGAAGUGGAUACCAUCAGAUAAGAAUGAAAACAGGGGGUGAAUGGAAAACUGCAUUCAAAACAAAAUUUGGGCUGUAUGAAUGGUUAGUUAUGCCUUUCGGUUUGACUAAUGCUCCUAGUACUUUCAUGAGAUUAAUGAACCAUGUCUUGAGAGCUUUCAUUGGAAAAUUUGUUGUUGUCUACUUCGAUGAUAUCUUAAUUUACAGCAAGUCUUUUGAGGAACAUGUGAAUCAUAUUCAGCAAGUCUUGGAAGAGCUUAGAAAGGAGAAAUUAUUUGCUAAUCUUGAGAUGUGCAGUUUUUGCACAGACCAUGUUGUGUUUCUUGGCUUUGUUGUUUCAGAAAAGGGCAUAGAAGUGGAUGAAAGCAAGGUGAAGGCCAUCAAGGAUUGGCCAACUCCAACAAAUGUAAGUCAAGUAAGAAGUUUUCAUGGCCUUGCUGGUUUUUAUAGGAGGUUUGUGAGAGAUUUCAGUACCAUCGCUGCUCCUUUGAAUGAAUUGACAAAGAAAGGUGUUGACUUUAAAUGGGGAAAAUCACAACAAAAUGCAUUUCAAGAAUUAAAGAAACGUUUGACUGAAGCACCUGUACUUGUUCUUCCUGAUUUCACUAAAACUUUUGAAGUAGAAUGUGAUGCUAGUGGAAUUGGGAUAGGAGGAGUUUUAAUGCAACAAGGAAAACCUGUAGCAUAUUUUAGUGAAAACUAGGAGGUGCUCAACUGAAUUAUUCUGUGUAUGAUAAAGAAUUAUAUGCUUUGGUGCGUGUGCUUGAAACAUGGCAGCACUACUUAUGGCCAAAAGAAUUUGUUAUUCACUCUGAUCAUGAAGCUUUGAAGUACUUGAAAGGACAAGCAAAACUGAACCGUCGUCAUGCCAAAUGGGUUGAGUUCAUCGAAACAUUUCCAUACAGUGUGAAAUAUAAGAAAGGUAAGGACAAUGUUGUUGCUGAUGCUCUGUCACGAAAGAGUGUGUUGCUAAACCAACUUGAAGUAAAGGUUUUGGGACUUGAAAGUUUGAAAGAACUGUACAGUAAUGACCCUGAAUUUUCAGAACCAUAUAAUCAUUGUAAAAAUGGAAAAGGUUGGGAAAAGUAUCAUAUACAUGAUGGAUUUUUGUUUAGAGCUAACAAAAUCUGUGUUCCAAAUUCUUCGGUUAGAUUGCUUUUAUUGCAGGAGUCUCAUGGGGGAGGAUUGACAGGCCAUUUUGGACAAAGGAAAACCUAUGAGCUGCUAGAAGAUCAUUUUUAUUGGCCCAAGAUGAGAAGAGAUGUCAUCAGAUUCGUGGAGCGAUGCGUUACCUGUCACAAAACUAAGUCUAAACUGAACCCUCAUGGUUUGUAUACUCCUUUACCUACUCCUAAAACUCCUUGGGAAGACAUAAGCAUGGAUUUUGUCUUGGGGUUGCCUAGAACUCAGAAAGGAAAAGAUUCAAUUUUUGUUGUGGUUGAUAGAUUUUCAAAGAUGGCUCAUUUUAUUCCUUGUAACAAGAGCGACGAUGCUUCACAUAUUGCUAAUUUGUUCUUCAAGGAAAUUGUGCGGCUGCAUGGAAUGCCUAGAACCAUUGUAUCUGAUCGUGAUGUCAAGUUUGUGAGCUAUUUUUGGAAAACAUUAUGGGCAAAGCUUGGAACCAAGCUUUUAUUCUCCACCACUUGUCACCCUCAAACCGAUGGACAAACUGAAGUGGUGAAUCACACAUUGUCAAUGUUGCUGCGGACUAUGGUGAAAAAGAACCUGAAGGUUUGGGAGAAAUGCUUGCCACAUGUGGAGUUUGCAUAUAACAAGGCAGUACACUCUACCACUAAUAUGUGUCCUUUUGAAAUUGUAUAUGGGUUUAAACCUAUUGCUCCGAUAGAUUUGUUGCCCCUUCCAUUGCAGGAAAGAACAAAUAUGGAAGCCUCCAAGCGUGCUGCAUACAUCAAAAAGGUACACGAGAAGACCAAAGAAGCAAUUGAACUCAAGGCAGGACGCAAGGCUGCAAGUAUGAACAAACAUAGAAAGAAGGUGUUAUUUGAACCCGGGGACUUGGUGUGGAUACACUUGCACAAGGAUCACUUUCCUCAGCAGCGCAAAUCAAAAUUGCUGCCACGAGGAGAUGGUCCAUUUCGUGUUCUUGAGAAGAUCAAUGACAAUGCAUACAAGAUUGAUCUUCCUGCAAGUUAUGGCGUGAGCAACUCCUUCAAUGUUGCUGAUCUCUCACCAUUCACAAGUGAAGACACUUUAGAGUCAAGGACGUCUCCUUUUCAAGGGGGGGAGGAUGAUAUGACCACGCCACUAAGCAAGAUGUCACAAGCUCCAAGUCAAGCUACACCCAGUCAAGUUUCACCUACACCAACACCAGCUCAAGUCAUCGAUGGUCCGAUUACACGUAGUCGUGCAAAGAAGCUACAACAAGAGGUCCACGCACUACUUUGUGAGAUUCAUUUUAAUAUUAAUGAGAAUUAUAUACUAUCUAAGUGUUGUACCUUGAUUGUACUCAGGUAUAUAGAAGAAGAGAAGGAAGAAUCAGACCAUGAAGAUCGGACCAGUGCAAGUUCCAGAAGAAGUCAAAAACGGACCAGUGGUAGUCAAAAACGGACCAGUGCAAAGAAUCUUCAUAACUUUUUACUCACAAAAGAUAUGAAGGUCCAUGAGCACUUGUUGGAAAGCUUGACGAGUCUACUUUCCAAUGAAUCUAGUGGCGACCAGUUUGGAUACGCCAUAUUGCCUGCAUACCAGAAUUAGUACAGACUGCUCAGAAGGUCAACAGUCUUUCAUGACAGAAUGUUGGUACAACUUGCCAAGUAAAACUGUACCAAUCUACAAUGUUUCGUGCUGGUUGGCAUACAUUGCUGGAAGGCCCUUUGAGUCUAGUUUCACACCCAAGACACGGUUCAUCAUUUGGACUUCCCAAUAAAAAGUUAUGGUCAGUUUAUUGGAAACUGCUCUGGAGGCCAACAGUCACGCGAAGCCACCUCGGGAAUCCAUUUCGAGGGGACCUUUCAUAUUGCCUUCCCUUAGAAACUCUAUUUCGUUUUCAUACCUAUCUAGCAGGGUUGUUGCUAGUAUAAAUACCCCCUAAGACUCAUUGUAAUCGCAGACUUUUGAUAAUUGAAAUACAGAACCCCUUUGUUCAGCUGCGUGCUAACAAAUUCAGAGACUGAUCUCUACCCCUUUGCUCUUGUAAUUUCCUCGCGGGAUUACAUAGGCGGCGGCUUCAUCCGCUCCCAAUUGGUGCUCCUACUCCCUUCAAGGUUUUCCUUGAUUGAUUGUAGGCUGUGUUGGUUGGUUCUUUGAGAGUGUGGUUGGGCGAAUCCUCGAUUUAGGUUGCCGGUUAAAGACGGUGGUUGGUUUCAAGUUUUAUUUGCCAGGUUGCACUAGUUAUCGCUGUUUGCAGCAAGUUAUCUGGCUGUUCUUCAGCUAGUUAUCGGUGUUCAUCCUA